GAUGAACGCUGGCGGCGUGCCUAAUACAUGCAAGUCGAGCGAACGGAUGAGAAGCUUGCUUCUCUGAUGUUAGCGGCGGACGGGUGAGUAACACGUGGAUAACCUACCUAUAAGACUGGGAUAACUUCGGGAAACCGGAGCUAAUACCGGAUAAUAUUUUGAACCGCAUGGUUCAAAAGUGAAAGACGGUCUUGCUGUCACUUAUAGAUGGAUCCGCGCUGCAUUAGCUAGUUGGUAAGGUAACGGCUUACCACGGCAACGAUGCAUAGCCGACCUGAGAGGGUGAUCGGCCACACUGGAACUGAGACACGGUCCAGACUCCUACGGGAGGCAGCAGUAGGGAAUCUUCCGCAAUGGGCGAAAGCCUGACGGAGCAACGCCGCGUGAGUGAUGAAGGUCUUCGGAUCGUAAAACUCUGUUAUUAGGGAAGAACAUAUGUGUAAGUAACUGUGCACAUCUUGACGGUACCUAAUCAGAAAGCCACGGCUAACUACGUG
rnacentral:rRNA from 1 species